CUAACGGCUGAACCAGCAACUUGGAGGAAGGUAUAGCAUUAGCUAAUUAUAUUUAGUUAAAUAUAAUUUCGACUAUGUCGUAUAAAAUUCUAGGUAGAAUAUGAUGAUGACAUUUUCUAUCUAUGUGUCUUGACCAAAUCUCGUGCCAGCAGUCGCGGUAAGGCGAGAAAGACUAGUGUUAUUCAUCUUUAAUAGGUUUAAAGGGUACCUAGACGGUAUUUCUAGCCAAGAAGGUACAGAUUUACUAGAGUUUAAUAUGUAGGAGGGUAGUAUUUCUGGUGUAGAGAUGAAAUAUUUUAAUACCUUAAGGACUGGUAAAAGCGAAAGCAACCUUAUAUCUAUGUAUAAACUGACGUUGAAAGGGACGAAGG
rnacentral:rRNA from 1 species